AACGAACGCUGGCGGCAGGCCUAACACAUGCAAGUCGAGCGAGGACUUCGGUUCUAGCGGCGGACGGGUGAGUAACGCGUGGGAAUGUUCCCUUCUCUACGGAAUAGCCCUGGGAAACUGGGAGUAAUACCGUAUACGCCCUAUUGGGGAAAGAUUUAUCGGAGAAGGAUCAGCCCGCGUUGGAUUAGGUAGUUGGGGGGGUAAUGGCCUACCAAGCCUAGGAUCCAUAGCUGGUUUGAGAGGAUGAUCAGCCACACUGGGACUGAGACACGGCCCAGAAUCCUACGGGAGGGAGGAGUGGCGAAUCUUAGACAAUGGGGGCAACCAUGAUCUAGCCAUGCCGCGUGAGUGAUGAAGGCCGUAGGGUUGUAAAGCUCUUUCAGCUGGGAAGAUAAUGACGGUACCAGAAGAAGAAGCCCCGGCUAACUCCGUG
rnacentral:rRNA from 1 species